rnacentral:lncRNA from 1 species
UUCUCAUAGUCCGUGAAGUAGUAGUAGUAGAAGUGGCUGUAGCGGUUGUUACCGUUUUGGGUAGUGUCCGUGUGAAUGUGUCACUGUCUCUCAGUAUUUCUCAUCUUCAUCUGUCAUCCUCAUCAUCAUCAUCAGUAUCAUCAUCACAGACAAGACUGGACCCUCCUCGUCGUUGUCACCACCAUUUUCGCCGUAGUACUUUGCCUCGAUCAUCAUCAGCAGCAGCUGCAGCGGUAAAAACAUCGAUGUUAUUCUAACGGGUCCUUCUGUGCUGCUUGUUGCCUAUUGGUGUUCUUCUCGCUAUCCGAAUCCAUCGUUUUAGUUCGUUUUCGAAGAAGGAACUGCUAGACCUUUGCGUUUUUUGCACGACGAAGACAACGGGACAGCGGCUACUGAUUGCUAAUGUUGACGCUGCCAUUUCUAUCGGUGCCAUCGUUGCGGGGGAGAUGAAGCGGGACGUGUCGCCCAAAGCGGUCAAUGGUAUGUUCGUAGUGCGUGUAGACAUCGUAAUAAAACAAUAGCAAGAAAUCGCCGCGGCCUCCAUAAUAGCCGACACGGGACAAAGUGCGACCGGUUAGAGGGGCAACUUCGAUGUCUUCUAGACGCCCAGCUUCAAACGGCUCUAGCCAAAACACGCUAAUACAACGAUCUUACUCAUACUGUGUACGGUAACGAGACACGAAGAAAUCGUGGAAGAAUGACGGUCGCCAAUAGAUAUCGCCCACAAUAUAUUACAUCCCGUAGCAUGCUAUAUCCAUUCUCUUUUGUGGUUCAUGCAGUCUUUCGUUUUGAUGAAAAGAAGAUCUGGGAGUCGAUGUCAAAUAAUGGAGGUUCUUCAAAAGAGCUGUCCCAGGCGGCGGUACUUAGCUGUCUCUCAAUAUUCAAGAUACAAACGUCUUAUGCGACAGCCACGGCAUACAGCCCUCAUAGCUAAGGUUUAAUUACCCCACUUUGUGCUGGUUUUUUUCCUGUUACCUUGAUCAGGGGGAUGUAAAAACUGACUGGAAAAUUCGGCAUCUACAAAUAGCUGCGUAGCAACACAUAUUUCUAUAUUAAGAUGCGUAUGUAUAUGGUAGGCUAAAGUACUUCUUAAGACUAACAUGUAAGCGCGAUUGGCUCGGAGUCGUUCCUUUCACGAUUUCAUGCCGUGUCAGCUUUGUAUAUAUCAUUCGAAGUGAUUUCAUCGUGAAAUUAAUUCUGUGCCUAAAUUGGCUUCAUUUUAUUAUUCUAAGUGAAUUUUUUCCCGGCGUUGAAAGUUAGAUGUCUAUUGCAAGCCCCUCUGUAUCGUUCUAUGUUAUUUUCUUGUCCGUCCUUCUGUGGUCCUAUCACGCGUGCAUUUCUGUUGGACUCGUAUUGUCGGACAAAUGUCUGGGAACGUUUCACCUCUUGCGGUUGCCAUCUCAGCUGAUCUUCUAUAAAAGAAACAAGCGAUAGGGACAAAUAGCCGACUGAAAGAGGACCGUUUCAGGGUAUCAUCCUUUUUAGACAACAUCCUAUCGGGAAACGGUGACUCUGAACAUCCUAUCGUGCGUAGACAUUUAUAGAACGCAGCUGAGCUCGGACGUUAACGAACUGACUAAAUCUAGAAUCAAUGUUCGUGUGGCGUAGGCUUCUGUUUUAUGACAUCAGCAUGUACUGAGCAUGAAGGCUUCACUGAGGACGACGCGUAAAUCGAAUCUAGAGUAGUGUUUAUGCUCGUAACUUGUCUUUAUACGAAGAAUAAAGACAAUAAACUGUUAUGAAGACAAUCGGUCAAUGGAUCGGAAAUACGUUUACAACGGGCAAUGGCCAAUAAAAUGUUACCCUAACUAGCUUGUGGCGGUGUAUCUACGCGCUACACUAUAUAGACAUUUAUAUAUAGCUAGCACGAGAAAAAGCAUUAAGAA